rnacentral:misc_RNA from 1 species
UCCCUGUUACCAGGGCAGUCUGAUUAGAAAAAUUCAACUAAUCACAAGGGUUGCGCUCGUUGAUGGACUUAACCAAACAUCUCACGACACGAGCUGACGACGGCCAUGCAACACCUGUCACUUGGUUCCGAAGCACUUUCUGCUUUCGCAGAAAUUCCAAGGAUGUCAAGCCUGGGUAAGGUUCUUCGCUUAUCAUCGAAUUAAACAACACGCUCCACCGCUUGUGCGGGUCCCCGUCAAUUCCUUUAUGUUUUAAGCUUGCGCUCGUACUCCACAGGCGGGAUGCUUAACGCGUUAGCUUCGCUACAAGGAGGGUCGAUACUCCUUACAGCUAGCAUCCAUCGUUUACGGCGUGGACUAC